rnacentral:rRNA from 1 species
UACGGAGGGGGCUAGCGUUGUUCGGAAUUACUGGGCGUAAAGCGCACGUAGGCGGCUUUGUAAGUUAGAGGUGAAAGCCGGGAGCUCAACUCCGGAAUAGCCUUUAAGACUGCAUCGCUAGAACGUUGGAGAGGUAAGUGGAAUUCCGAGUGUAGAGGUGAAAUUCGUAGAUAUUCGGAAGAACACCAGUGGCGAAGGCGACUUACUGGACAACUGUUGACGCUGAGGUGCGAAAGCGUGGGGAGCAAACAGG